rnacentral:misc_RNA from 1 species
UCUGAGUCUAAACCCAAAUUUAACCGAAACAUUUUCCUGUUUCCACAGAAGAGAGAAUAUUUCUUUGGAAAUUUGGCAUCCAAAGUUUAAUGUAAUUUUAUCUAUACGUUGCACAAAGUUCCUUGGCAUUGGAACAAUGUCAUGGUCAGCGUCCCUAGCUUUCAGAUAAGAAUUGCCAUACCCCAGGUAAUAAUCAGCUAAUGAUUUGAUGAUUUCAGCAGCUUCUAUGCCGGUGAAUUGAACUUUAGCAUAUGUU